rnacentral:lncRNA from 1 species
UGGCCAAAUACAGGCUAAAGGCCCAAGUGGAGAAGGACGAAGGCCCAAGUGGAGAAGGACAAAGCCCCCAAGUGGAGAAGGAUGAAGGCCCAAGUGGAGAAGGAUGAAGGCCCAGAGGCAGAGACACUAUCAAGACUAUUAAUUGUUGCUGAAGGCCCAAACUAAUUUGAAGGCCCAAGUUAAAUAAGUUUUUAGUUAUAAUUUAUUUUUAUUGUAAUUUUGGCCCAAACUGUUUAAAAGGCCCAUGUCUAUUUUUAUCUUUUUGUUUAGCUACACUAUAAGUAUGGGUUUUUGUUUUGAAUAAAAAAACUUUUGGC